rnacentral:rRNA from 1 species
GUCUACGGCCAUACCACCCUGAACGCACCUGAUCUCGUCUGAUCUCGGAAGCUAAGCAGGGUCGGACCUGGUUAGUACUUGGAUGGGAGAAAAUUAAAAUCACUAGAUGACCUUUUACA